GUUCUGCUGUUACAGGAAAUAGGAGUCUCUGGUGAAUCUGGAUGGAUCCAGUUCUUUUCCGUGGUGCACAAAACAGCGAGAGGUACAGUUGCCCUGGCAGACUGCAGCUGGCUCCCUGUAAGCCACAUCACAUGGUGCUAAACUUCACCACCAGGCAAGAAAGAGUAAGCUACAACCCAAGCUGUCAACACAUAGGCCUGGAAUUGCUCCGUAUGCUCGCCAGGGUUGGACUCUCCUGCAGCCUUUUGUGUGGCAACAUUCAGCUUUGAAAUACUCAGCCUGUUCAGGAAAGGAAGAGGCAAGAGUAAAGCCCCUUACCUUCCACCAGGUUGCACUAUAACUCUGCUUACCUGUGUCCUUCUGCCGCAUUCCUUCACAGAGUUCUGAACUUUGCCUGCCUGGAUCUAAGUGCAGGUUUCUCCCCACUUCUAUGAGCUUCCAACACCACUGGUUUCCCUGAGGAUGGAGCACAGACCACCCCACUGCCUACAAAGGUCAGCGUACAGCAAGACAAGCACCCAAACUAGCUCCACUUGUCAAGGCAAAGCCUGUUCCAAGGACACGCUCCACACGGUGACGGUCUGCCAAGGCUUUGCAGAACGAUUUAUCAGAACAGGGAUACAGAAGGCUGGGGCUGUAGCUCAGUGUUUAAAAGCUUGUCCAGCAUAUAGAACGCCCUGGGUUCAAAUCACAGAAGAAUAACAUCUUUUAAAAAGUGGAGCCUACAGUCUGGGGGUGGGAUGGGGACUAAAGACAAACAUUGCUGACAGGAAGCAUGUAACUGGGCUAGCUUCAUGCAGGGGGGAAAAAGGCACACCCAGAAUAUCAAGGGCUCCCUGUUAGGGAGGAAUUCAAGAAGGCUCAAUAUUUAAGAAUCAAGUCAGGCCAGGAAUGGUAGCAUAUACCUAAAAUCCCAGCAGUUAGAAACCAAAGGUAGAAGGGGGCCCUGUUCUCAAUACUGAUACGAGAAAAAUCAGAAGGUUGGAUGGCCCAAUGGUUAAGAACACUGGCUGUUUUCCUAGAGGACCUGAGUUCAA